rnacentral:rRNA from 1 species
CGUGGGUAACCUGCCCAAGAGAUCGGGAUAACACCUGGAAACAGAUGCUAAUACCGGAUAACAACAGAUGAUGCCUAUCAACUGUUUAAAAGAUGGUUCUGCUAUCACUCUUGGAUGGACCUGCGGUGCAUUAGCUAGUUGGUAGGGUAACGGCCUACCAAGGCGAUGAUGCAUAGCCGAGUUGAGAGACUGAUCGGCCACGUUGGGACUGAGACACGGCCCAAACUCCUACGGGAGGCAGCAGUG